CACGUCGGGGGCGGCCCGGGGCCUUGCGCAGCAGCGGGGCAUCUUGGCACCCCCGUCCUGAGAGGUGGAGGGCAGCCAGACGACGGACGGGGAGGCGAGCGCCCUGAGGUGAACUGCGGCUGAGAGUCCGCGUCAGGAGUCCCAAGUUCGAGAUGGAGUUGGCUCCUCGCUGGGGCGGCGGGGACGGCUUGGCAGCUGCGCGGCGCGCAGAGACGUCCGGACUCCUGGCUCGCGUCGAGCUCGACGAGGGCUGGAGUUACGGACAAGGCGGGACGGAAAGGUGUCCUUUCGGGCGGCGCCUUCCCCAGAGCUGACAGAACCCGGGCGCGGCGCUCGCAGAUGCUGCCUAAGCGGAGCUCCGCGGCUGUCCUCUGGACGAGGUGGCGGCGAGGGCGGCUCGGCGGGGGUCCCGGCGCGGAGAAGCUACCGACUGGAAGAUGAAUCUUGCCAGAGCUACAGAUUGGGAGGAGAAAAAUUCCAAGAGAUCUGACUAAAGUAACCCUUGAGGAAUCGUCCAGCCUUUGAGUAACCCAUGAUUAGCUAAAUCAUAAAAAGAAACGUGAAAUCAGUCAACAAAAACUCUAGAGCGCCCUCAAUGUGCAAAGCACUGUUAGGUGCUACCACCCUGGGAGAGAGAUGACCAGACUCAGGACCAGGCACUUACUGUCAAGAAGGGAGCAGAGCUGGCCCUUCCCACCAGGUCCAGCCAAGUUCAGUGCAGUCAGAACUGCAAGAUCGUGCUAUGUUCAGAGAGAGGCAGAUUGCUUCCCACUGUGAGGGUCAGAGAGACUCUGGAGGCACAAUCCAAGUCUAGCAUGGAGAAAGAAAAGGGAAGAUGGACUCAUGUUUAUUUAGCUGCUGUGUACUGUAUGUAAAUAUUUUGUUGUCAAUGUCAAAAGAGGACAUUACAGUAAACUUAAUCUAGAGAUCUUAAUUGCCUUUUAUUUGUGUCAAUCAGGCAACACUUCAUUCUAUAAAACAGACUGUUUGGAAGAGCUGAGCAGAGGAAUUUGACAUGACAGACAGAAAAGGACUGAAGAAGUAGAAACAGAACAAAGAGCACAUAGGUUGUUUCAAAGUUACUUUCCUUGUAAAGGUUAAAACAGGGGACUUAAGAUAGCUACAACUGACCCAUUUGAUGUGUUUUCCCCCACCAUCACCAUCCCCGCUGGCCACCUCCUCCCCACCACCUGAAUCUUUGGAAGGUCAGAUAAUAACUGGGUUGUGUCUUGGAGGUCAGGAACUUUAGCAUGAGUAAUUCCAUUUUGGUCUGGUCUAUUGGAACUAGUACAGGAGCUCAGUCCAAACCAGUGGCCUUCUACAGACUUUAUUUAAAUGAGAUAAUUUUGAAAAAAGUGUUAUUCUCUCAAGUAUAAAGAUGAGAGAACUGAGACUUAGAGAAUGGAAAAGUUUGCCAAAGGCCCACCAAUGGCAGAAGUGUACUCCUUGUUCUCUACCAUGUAGCCACUCAGGACAGAGGCCACAUGGCCGGAAUCAUCUUACAAUAAAAGCCACAUAUUGAUUGAUGUUGGG
rnacentral:lncRNA from 1 species